AGAGCCCAGCACCGAAUCCNUUCACCAUCUCGGUGACAGGAAAUGUGGUGUUUAGGCCGUACCUUGUCCCGACACGUCUCUCCUCAAGUCCACUUGAUUGUGGCCCCAGGCCCAGAGAGGGUGUAAGGCCCGUGGAGGCGAGACGUUCGGUACCUGGUGCGUCCUUAGAGUCGGGUUGUUUGGGAAUGCAGCCCUAAGCGGGUGGUAAACUCCAUCCAAGGCUAAAUACCAGCACGAGUCCGAUAGCGAAGAAGUACCGCGAGGGAAGGUUGAAAAGAACUUUGAAGAGAGAGUUCAAGAGUACGUGAAACCGCUGAGAGGCAAACUGGUGGAACUGAAAUGGUCCCGAGGAAUUCAGCCGUUGGUCGUUGCACAGUCUUUGGUGAUUGAUCUAACGACGGCGCCAUUGAAUGACGUUUCGAUCAUCGGUGCACUUUCCUCGCCUGGGCCCGACCACGACCGGUGAGCUGAUCUGUCUGUCGUGCUUGGAAGAUAGCGCCGUCUUCGGAAGGCGUGUUAUAGACAGGCAUACGGAGCAGUCGGCGCACUGGAUGAUAGUGCCUGCCCAUCUGGGCUCAUAUGGUGGUUGUUUUGUUGGCGAGUUCUGAUGUCACUACUUCGGUAGAGUCGUUAGACUCUGUUGGCAUUAUGGCUGUCCUCUAUGAUUGGCACUGUUAAGUCUGUGGUUGUGAAGUAGGUAGUCCACCUGACCCGUCUUGAAACACGGACCAAGGAGUCUAACAUGUGCGCGAGUCAUUGGGUUCACGAAACCUAAAGGCGCAGUGAAGGUAAAGAUCUGUUUUGGCAGAUUGAGGUGGGAUGCCGGGUUACGCGCCCGGCCGCACUACCGGCCCGUUCUAUAUGUCUUUCAUAGGAGCGGAGCAAGAGCGUACACGUUGGGACCCGAAAGAUGGUGAACUAUGCUUGCGCAGGUCG
rnacentral:rRNA from 1 species